rnacentral:tRNA from 1 species
AAGGUUUUAAGUUAUGAAAACUAUAAGCCUUCAAAGCUUAAAAUAAAAAAGAAUUUUUAAACCUUGCC